CGCCUGGGGAUUACGAGCGCAAGCUUAAAACCCAAAGGACUUGACGGUGUCCCACCCACCUAGAGGAGCCUGUUCUAUAAUCGAUGAUCCACGAUACACCUUACCAUUUUUUGCCUUUUCCAGCCUGUAUACCUCCGUCGACAGCUUACCAUCUGAAUGCACAAAGUAAGCCCAAUGGUCUAUACACCAGCACGUCAGGUCAAGGUGCAGCCUAUAAAAUGGGAAGCAAUGGGCUACAAUUUCUAUCUUAGAACAAACGAAAAACUACAUGAAACAUCGUCAUGAAGGCGGAUUUAGUAGUAAGAGAAGAAUAGUAAACUUCUUUUAAUAAGGCUCUGGGACGUGUACAAACCGCCCGUCACCCUCUUCAACAGCACCCAAUUUAGUCACUAACACCUAACCAGCACCUCAGAAGAGGCAAGUCGUAACACGGUAAGUGUACUGGAAAGUGCACUUGGUUAA
rnacentral:rRNA from 1 species